AAAGAACACGAGAAAACGCGAGAAGUUUUAAAAAGUUAUUAUCGACGGAGGUAAAGGUAUAGCAUCGAAUCGAGAAUGGCAGUUGAACCUGUCAUCACUGUUUCACUAGUGAGGAUUCUCGGAUUAAAGAGAAACAAAGCGAGGAUUUUUUUGUUAUUUGAUUGAUAUCGAUAUCGUGAAACAUUGUUUGACCCAGAAAUUACGCGAUACGAUUUUUCUUCUUAUCCAGAAAUUUGAAUUACGAAGGAACGGAAGGAAUUACGACAGGUGAAAGAGGUUAUGUAACUUGCUGUGCUCGUGUUUAGCUGCAUCGUCUGGCAAAACUGGCCUUUGUCUAUCAAGAUUAUCCAACGAACGAUCGAGAUAGCCACGGAACUCAUUUCAACUACUUAUACGAAGGUAAAGGAGAAUAAGAUGAUAAUGCUUGAUAAUAAAAAAUGGUUAAAACUCUAUAGAGUUUCAAAAAAUAUUCAGAUUAAUAAACGAGAAACAAGGUCGAUAAGAUUGGACAUCGGUUUACGAUCGUGCACCUACCGUGCAUCCAUGUCUUUCCAACAGGCUGAUUUAUGCGUUGGUUAAACCUCUUUCGAGGAUCAUACUGGGGGCUUCUGAUGACUGAAACUCGGUUUACGCUCGCUUCGAUCAACUUCGAUCAAGUCUAUAUAAUUCAUAUCUGCAUCUUCGUUUUAACAAGGGAAAUUGGAUAUAUCAAUGGAAUGCAAUUACUUCACGAAUGAUAAUAAAAGGAAGGCGUUUCAUUUCUUUUUUUUUUUUCAAAUCAAAUUUUUUUGAAGAUUUCUGGUUGCCAAAUUUUGAAAAGUUAAAAAAUUUUCUAUUUUUAUAUUCGAACCAAUAGAAUACAGUAAUUCCAUCAGAAAAAGGUUCAAAAGAAAGGCUUUUCGCGAUUCCUCAUGCUAACAGAGUUACAUAGGCCACGUAGAGGAAAGUCGGCACCUUGAAAACGAGCAUUGACUAUGCCCACGGAAGAAGGUCGGCCGGUUUUAGUUCGCGUUAUAUUUAUCGCCGCUUGUAAUCGAUAGUUCGUCUCUCAGGUAAACAGUGUAGGAGCAAUCGUUAUUUCGGGGAGAAGAGUAUGUCGCCGCAUUGGCCCCGUACUUGAACCACUUUCCGCACAAUUCUAAACGCGAUUAAGACCAGCUUCGCGCGUCAUCGGUACAAACAGCGAUUCCAUCACAAUUUACAU